CGCCUGUUUAUCAAAAACAUUUCUUUUUGGGGGUAUAAAAAGUAAGACCUGCCCACUGAUAAAAUUUAAAGGGCCGCAGUAUUAUAACUGUGCUAAGGUAGCAUAAUCAUUAGUCUCUUGAUUAGAGAAUGGAAUGAAUGGUUUAAUGGAUAAAAACUUUAUUAAUAUUAAAAAUAGAAUUUAGGGAUAAAGUGAAAAUUCUUUAGUUUAUUAAAUAGACGAUAAGACCCUUUAGACCUUUAUUUAAAAUAAUUUGUUGGUGAAUUUUUUAUUUUAAGUUUAACUGGGGCAGUUUAAGAAUAUAAAAAUAUUCUUAUAAAAUCAUUUUGUUGAAAAUUUAAGAUCUUGAAUUUAGAAACGAAGAAAAAGGUACCUUAGGGAUAACAGCGUAAUUAAUUCGGAGAGUCCUUAUCGAUGAAUUAGUUUGCGACCUCGAUGUUGAAUUAAAAUUAUUAGGUAUAGCAGAUUAUAUCUACGUUAGUCUGUUCGACUAGAGAUUUUUACAUGAUUUGAGUUCAAACCGGUGUGAGCCAGGUUGGUUUCUAUCUUUUAACACAGAAAAAACUUUUUAGUACGAAAGGAUCGAAAGGUUUAAAAAUUUUAUCAAAAUAACUA
rnacentral:rRNA from 1 species